rnacentral:rRNA from 2 species
GACGAACGCUGGCGGCGUGCUUAACACAUGCAAGUUGAACGAAACUUUCAGAAACAGAUUCUUCGGAUGACGAUUCUGAAACGUUUAGUGGCGGAUGGGCGAGUAACACGUGAGGAACCUGCCUUUCACAGGGGAAUAACACUGGGAAACCAGUGCUAAUACCGCAUAAUGUAUUAAAGUGGCAUCACAUUAAUACCAAAGAUUUUAUCGGUGAAAGAUGGACUCGCGUCCCAUUAGCUAGUUGGUGAGGUAACGGCCCACCAAGGCGACGAUGGGUAGCCGGCCUGAGAGGGUGAACGGCCACAUUGGAACUGAGAAACGGUCCAAACUCCUACGGGAGGCAGCAGUGGGGAAUAUUGCACAAUGGAGGGAACUCUGAUGCAGCGACGCCGCGUGAACGAUGAAGGCUUUCGAGUCGUAAAGUUCUUUUAUAUGGGAAGAUAAUGACGGUACCAUAAGAAAAAGCCCCGGCUAACUACGUGCCAGCAGCCGCGGUAAUACGUAGGGGGCUAGCGUUGUCCGGAAUCACUGGGCGUAAAGGGUUCGCAGGCGGAAAUGCAAGUCAGAUGUAAAAGGCAGUAGCUUAACUACUGUAAGCAUUUGAAACUGCAUAUCUUGAGAAGAGUAGAGGUAAGUGGAAUUUUUAGUGUAGCGGUGAAAUGCGUAGAUAUUAAAAAGAAUACCGGUGGCGAAGGCGACUUACUGGGCUCAUUCUGACGCUGAGGAACGAAAAGCGUGGGUAGCAAACAGG